UCUCUUUGCCUCACUCUGCUCAUCCCUCUUCUGUCUCUCCUCCUUCCAUUCCCCCUGGCCAACCUUUUUCUUUCACCAACUCCAUUCUCUCAACCAACGACAUACCCCAGCAGUAUCCCCCAAACCAGCAGCUUUCCCUUUGCUCUUUCUUCAGGACCUGAGCUCUGUGUCCAUCCUUCAGACGGGCUCCUCUUUCUGACCUGCACCCUGCCUUUGCAUCACCCCUCCAUCCCUAGGACACGGCUCACAGGUUUCUACUCAAGAUAACAGCUCCUCGCACUCAGAUCUCUCCAGGGAACCCUCCUGAGCACAUCACUGUCCUUUUCAAGGUCCCAAUCCAUGAUCCCUGAAAGUCUUCAAAGGUCCCUGUGCUCCCUAAAGGUCUGCCAGCCCCCAUUGCUCUUUGGCUCUUAAGUCCCUCCUGGCCAUAAGACUCUUAACUCCAGGGCUACCACGCAGCUGGAUUGGUAAAUAGAGGUGAGGACAGAUGGUUGGAACGCGGGGCCGCGUUCCUCACAUCGGGAGAACAAAUCUGCCGAGGAUCUUCCUUCCCUCCUACCAAGGAUCCUACACGCCAGCUUUCCUGUUCCUGCUGUAUCCUUUUGAGGGAGACCGAAACUCGACCCAGCAGCCAAGAUGAGAUACUCCACGGAUUUACCAAUGAUACUCCAAUACCUGCAGUCACGUACUCUACAGCUUCCUUAACACAGUUUAACAACUCCUUUGUGAGGCACGAAACGAAGUGUGUCCAUACCGACACAUGUUAAAUAAAAUGUCACAACUGGA